UUUAUUCUUUUCUAGCAGCUCUAUGCUACUGGUUGUAGUGUUGUAUGAUUACAGGUACGGUACUGCGACACUUCAUAUGCAGGGAAAAUUCCGAUGUAUACGGUGGGUCUGUUAGCGUGUCCGUGGAAACGAGAAAUUCGGGGCGUAACAAGUAGAGCUUGAAAAAGAUGAGUUCAUAUUUUUAUAGUGUGAUUUUGAUAGUUUUGGAGAAUUUUGGAUAGAAUAUAAUUUUAGACCUUUAGACUUGGGUAUUUCUCAUUGGAGAUU
rnacentral:lncRNA from 1 species